rnacentral:rRNA from 1 species
GUUUAAAUUUAAAUACCCUAAUGGCACCAGAUCCUGUCUGAUCUUGGAAGCUAAGCAGGGACAGCCCUGGUUAGUACUUUGAUGGAGACCACCAAUGAAUACCAGGUGCUGGAGGCU